GCCCAGACUUCCAGUGCAGGCUAAGUGGAGCAGGCACGGUGCGUUCACACUAUAAGGGGGACAUUGGCUGCGUUGAUAGACAGACUUGAUCCGUGAGACACAUUUGACAGAAGUACCGAAAGUAACAAAAAAAAUUAUAGUACCAAACCAUUUUUCAUGUUCUACUAUCGAAAAAGUAUAGAAGUUUCGGUAUACCGCGCAACACUAUGGUCUGCAGUGCCAGUCCAUAAUAAAUGUGUGUGUGUGGUUUUGGUGUCACGGGUGGGCUAAGAGGUGCCUCCAUCGUCGACUCUCUGGAUAUCCUCUACAUCUGGGCUGGAUGAAUACCGGGAGGCCAAGGAGCGGGAAGAAGACAAGCUGAACCUCAACCUAAGAAGGUUGGAAGUGAUUAUCCAUUUUGUGGGUGGCCAGCUCUUUGCCUACUACCUAACAGGAGAGGAGGUGUUUAAGAGGCAAGUGAUGAAACUCGGGAGGAAGCUGCUUCCUGCUGCCUUCAACACCCCCACGGGCAUCCCACAUGGAGUUGUCAACCUG